rnacentral:lncRNA from 1 species
AAAAAAUACGAAAAGUAGGCCGGGUGCGGUGGCUCACGCCUGUAAUCCCAGCACUUUGGAAGGCUGAGGCAGGUAGAUCAUGAGGUCAGGAGAUCAAGACCAUCCUGGCUAACACGGUGAAACCCCGUCUCUACUAAAAAUACAAAAAACUAGCCGGGUGUGCUGGUGUGUACCUGUAGUCCCAGCGACUCGGGAGACUGAGGCAGGGAGAAUUGCUUGAACCCAGGAGGUGGAGGUUUCAGUGAGCCGAGAUCGUGCCACUGUACUCCAGCCUGGGCAACAGAGUGAGACUCCAUCUCAAAAAGAAAAAAAAAAAAAAACUAAGGCUAGGCGCGGUGGCUCACGCCUGUAAUCCCAGCACUUUGGAAGGCUGAGGUGGGCAGAUCAUGAGGUCAGGAGUUUGAGACGAGCCUGGGCAAUAUUGUGAAACCCUGUCUCUUCUAAAAAUACAAAGAAAAAUCAGCCGGGCGUGUUGGCACGCACCUAUAAUCCCAGCUACUGUGGAGGCUGAGGCAGGAGAAUUGCUUGAACCUGGGAGGCAGAGCUUGCAGUGAGCCGAGAUGGUGGCCACCGCACUCCAGCCUGGGCGACAGAGCGAGACUCCGUCUCAAAACAAAACAAAACAAAAUCUAGCCAGAAAUCGCUUGAACCCAGGAGGUGGAGGUCGCAGUGAGCUGAGAUUGUGCCACUGCCCUCUAGCCUGGGCAACAGAGUGAGACUCCACCCCUCCACGCCCCCCCAAAAUAAAGCGUCUGGCUCUUUAAAGGAGAUCACACUUGGUGGCGAUGCGGGUGAAAGAGGAUUGGGUUGAAGGAGUCGAAGUGGAAGCGGGAAAGCACCAAGCGGGGAAAUGGGCACGUUUCUGUUCUGCUCUAAGCUGCUGCGCCUGACUUCGAUUCCAUCGAUCAAGAGGAGUCUGCUGAAGGACAGGGUGUACGGCUGCCUCGCCCGCUCCUGAACCAGGCCCGGGUGAAGUGUGUUGUGCACAUUCAGCAGCUCCAGCCCCGCUGUGGGUCGCACUGACAUGUUGGGCCCAGCCCACGCCCCAGAAGCUCGCAGCGCCGUUGGUCUGGGGAAUGGUGUUUUAGGAAAAACUCCCGAAGUGACAGGAUGGUGUCGUUGGGCGUAAGGGCCACGGCACUCCCAUUGAGUUGCGACAAGUUCCACAAAAUCGUCCCUGGUUUUUAAUAAGGAAACUGAGGCUCACUUGAGAAGUUAAGAAAGUUGUCGCUGACCCGCUAGGCCAAGGGAUACGCAGCAUUUCACUCUUGCCUUCUCUGAUUUGUGCAAUCAGUCAAGGAAAAAGCGCAGCAAAGAGAGAAAGUCCUGAACCUUAAAACCCAGGAGAAAACUUAUCCUACAAUGCCGGGCAGUUCACGCUGAUGGAAGCAGCAGCCAGAGGAAGGCACUUGUCUGGGCUUCCUGCAGCGCUCUGAGAACAGCCCGCUCCUCUGCUGGGGAAGGGGUGACACAGUCAAUGGAGGGGGUGGUCUCUGAACCUGGGGCUUGGGAUGGGGGCAGAGAGCAGCUAUUCAGCCAUUCUCCAUGGGCUGCCCAUUUCCAGGUGGGCUUGGGGACAGAGAAAGGCCCAAGCGGCCAGAGGGGCCCUGGGCUCCAGUUCUACCGGCCCCAUGUUGACAUCGUGUCCAACAAGACACCAAGAGAAGCAGGGAGUGGCUGACCUUCAUUUUCCGUAUCAACACACAGGGGGCCCUCUGCACCCACCAACAUCUUUGUCUCCUGAAAAAUGGCCUUUGUCAGUUAUUUUUAAAAACUGGUGCUAAUCCUGAGACACGGAGAUACUCCCGGGAAGCCAUCCGAGCCUGGACACACUGAGAUGAAACCACAAACACGCCGAGAGGAAAAGACAUUGAUUCCAGCCCUCAAAGCAACGGGACAAAAAACAAACAGGAGGCUUCCCUCCCGCCCCAGGGGCAGCGGCCGGUGUCUGCGGCUCUGCGGGAAGGGCUCUCACUGUGACCAGAUUGUGGCUUCUGAUUGUAUUGUAGAAUUUCUGGCCCAGCUUUUAAGGUUCAAGGCUUCCUCCCUUUGCUUUUAUCUUAUUUUCUUGUUUAAUAAAGAUACGCCUGUGUGAGAAGCAUUGCCUGUUCCCAGCUGCCACCGCCUCCUCCUCCUCCGCUUCCUCCCCAUCCCCAGCACGUCCUUCCCAUCGACCCUCUAGAGAACCAAGCUCAAUUCAGAGCAGACCAUGUGCCCAGCUACAUCCCCUCAGCCUUGCCCCCUUGGGACAGAAUCCACAUUCCUGCCCCUCCGCCCCCGCCCUCUCCUGGCAGCCCACUCUGUGCCGACCAGAAUAUCG